AACGAACGCUGGCGGCAGGCCUAACACAUGCAAGUCGAACGGUAAGGCCCUUCGGGGUACACGAGUGGCGAACGGGUGAGUAACACGUGGGUGAUCUGCCCUGCACUUCGGGAUAAGCCUGGGAAACUGGGUCUAAUACCGGAUAUGACCAUGCGCUUCACGGUGUGUGGUGGAAAGCUUUUGCGGUGUGGGAUGGGCCCGCGGCCUAUCAGCUUGUUGGUGGGGUAAUGGCCUACCAAGGCGACGACGGGUAGCCGGCCUGAGAGGGUGUCCGGCCACACUGGGACUGAGAUACGGCCCAGACUCCUACGGGAGGCUG
rnacentral:rRNA from 1 species